rnacentral:rRNA from 1 species
GAUGAACGCUGGCGGCGUGCCUAAUACAUGCAAGUCGAGCGAACAGACGAGGAGCUUGCUCCUCUGACGUUAGCGGCGGACGGGUGAGUAACACGUGGAUAACCUACCUAUAAGACUGGGAUAACUUCGGGAAACCGGAGCUAAUACCGGAUAAUAUAUUGAACCGCAUGGUUCAAUAGUGAAAGACGGUUUUGCUGUCACUUAUAGAUGGAUCCGCGCCGCAUUAGCUAGUUGGUAAGGUAACGGCUUACCAAGGCAACGAUGCUUAGCCGACCUGAGAGGGUGAUCGGCCACACUGGAACUGAGACACGGUCCAGACUCCUACGGGAGGCAGCAGUAGGGAAUCUUCCGCAAUGGGCGAAAGCCUGACGGAGCAACGCCGCGUGAGUGAUGAAGGUCUUCGGAUCGUAAAACUCUGUUAUUAGGGAAGAACAAAUGUGUAAGUAACUAUGCACGUCUUGAUGGUACCUAAUCAGAAAGCCACGGCUAACUACGUG